rnacentral:rRNA from 1 species
GUAGGGUGCGAGCGUUGUCCGGAAUUAUUGGGCGUAAAGAGCUUGUAGGUGGUUUGUCGCGUCUGCUGUGAAAAUCCGGGGCUCAACCCCGGACUUGCAGUGGGUACGGGCAGACUAGAGUGUGGUAGGGGAGACUGGAAUUCCUGGUGUAGCGGUGGAAUGCGCAGAUAUCAGGAGGAACACCGAUGGCGAAGGCAGGUCUCUGGGCCAUUACUGACACUGAGAAGCGAAAGCAUGGGGAGCGAACAGGAUUAGAUACCCUGGUAGUCCAUGCCGUAAACGUUGGGAACUAGGUGUGGGUCUCAUUCCACGAGAUCCGUGCCGCAGCUAACGCAUUAAGUUCCCCGCCUGGGGAGUACGGCCGCAAGGCUA